rnacentral:rRNA from 1 species
GAUGAACGCUGGCGGCGUGCCUAAUACAUGCAAGUCGAGCGAACAGACGAGGAGCUUGCUCCUCUGACGUUAGCGGCGGACGGGUGAGUAACACGUGGAUAACCUACCUAUAAGACUGGGAUAACUUCGGGAAACCGGAGCUAAUACCGGAUAAUAUAUUGAACCGCAUGGUUCAAUAGUGAAAGACGGUUUUGCUGUCACUUAUAGAUGGAUCCGCGCCGCAUUAGCUAGUUGGUAAGGUAACGGCUUACCAAGGCAACGAUGCGUAGCCGACCUGAGAGGGUGAUCGGCCACACUGGAACUGAGACACGGUCCAGACUCCUACGGGAGGCAGCAGUAGGGAAUCGUCCGCAAUGGGCGAAAGCCUGACGGAGCAACGCCGCGUGAGUGAUGAAGGUCUUCGGAUCGUAAAACUCUGUUAUUAGGGAAGAACAAAUGUGUAAGUAGCUAUGCACGUCUUGACGGUACCUGAUCAGAAAGCCACGGCUAACUACGUG